rnacentral:rRNA from 1 species
UACGGAGGGGGCGAGCGUUAUUCGGAAUUAUUGGGCGUAAAGGGCGCGUAGACGGCCCGGUAAGUCAAAGGUGAAAUCCCUCGGCUCAACUGAGGAACUGCCUUUGAAACUGUCGGGCUUGAGGCCGGGAGGGGGUAGCGGAAUUCCCAGUGUAGCGGUGAAAUGCGUAGAUACUGGGAGGAACACCAGUGGCGAAGGCGGCUACCUGGACCGGUUCUGACGCUGAUGCGCGAAAGCGUGGGUAGCAAACAGG